GUCUACAGCCAUACCACCCAGAAUGGGCUCAAUCUCAUCUGAUUUUGUAAGCUAAGCAGGGUCUGGCCUGGUUAGUACUUGAUAACCUACUAGAAUUUAUAUAUU
rnacentral:rRNA from 1 species